CUGGCAGCUCCCUGAAGGACCCCGUGCCUCUUCCCAACAUCCACUCAGCAUCACCCACUCUCCGGUUCUCCGUGAAAGCUGCCCUAGAUGCCCCAGGGAAGGUGGGUCCUGGUCCUCUUGUCUAGCAGCAGCAGAGCAGCAGAGAAAAUGGUCCAUUGGAGAGCGACAGCUUGACCAACAACUCACCGUCCUCGGUGAUGGGAGACCAGGAGUACCAGAGCCGAAGUCCAGAUGUGCUGAAGACCACAUCCUUCCAGGUCCUGUCCCUGGACAAUAGCCACGCAGAGGGCAUCCAGUCCGGGUCGCAUGAACACACAGCAAAAAUGCAGGGACGCACAUGGCUUUGCACCCAUGGAGAAAGCAUGUGUGCACAUGAGCACAGGAGGAGCAUGUGAGUGAGGAGGAGCAGAGGUGGGGGCAUGAGUGCCAGGAAAAGGCAACAUCCAGGGGACAGAGCAGGUGCAGGUACAGGUGCGAGGGAUGGGUCUGUGUAGGAGACCUGGAAGGGGAGGGGGGCAGGAGGGGGCGGGAGGGGCCGGUGGGGAAGCAGCAGCGCCUGGUGCGCACUGGACAGUGGAUCUAGAAGAGGGGGGCGUCCUCCCAGCCAG
rnacentral:lncRNA from 12 species